UUUUUCAUUUAAUUUUUUUUUUGACAAACUUCUGAAGCUUUCUUCGAUGAGGAGGAUGAGUUUCCUGUGUCGUUUGAAGUACAACUUUGUGAUUUUCCACAAUUCAAAAAUGGACAUCUACAUGAUGAAGAAAGCUGGAGACACCACUUCCCAGUAUCUAAAGGAAAUAAGUACAGCUAUACGUGUGACAAUGGGUUUUCACCACCUUCUGGACAUUCCUGGGACUACCUUUAUUGCACAGCACAAGGGUGGGAGCCUGAAGUACCAUGCAUCAGGCAAUGUGUUUUCCAUUAUGGGGAGAAUGGAGAAUCUUCAGACAUG